UUCGGUGACUUCAUUUGGGUUCUCGUCGGCUUGAUCCCUUUUAUUUUUUUGCGCUCUUAACUUGGCUUUGGACCAACCAUCAAGCAACAUUUUUUUUAUCAGGAAAAGGAAUUAAAUAAAAAAGAAAGAAACCGGUACCAGAGGUACCAAAGUACAGAACUAAAAAAAAAAAACACAGAGAGAAGCUGAGGCGUACAGAGGGAAGAAAAGGAACCAAACAAUCCCA
rnacentral:lncRNA from 1 species